rnacentral:rRNA from 1 species
ACUGAACAUCUAAGUAAGCGGAGGAAGAGAAAAUAAAAAUGAUUCCCCAAGUAGUGGCGAGCGAACGGGGAAGAGCCCAAACCAAUGAUGUUACGGCAUCAUUGGGGUUAUAGGACUACAAUGUGGAUAUACAAAUAAAAUGGAAGCAGUUGGGAAGCUGUAUCAUAGAGGGUGACAAUCCCGUACAUGUAAGUUUUUAUAUUCUAGUAGUAUCCUGAGUAGCACGGGGUCGGUGAAGCCUUGUGUGAAUUUGCCAGCACCAUCUGGUAAGGCUAAAUACUCCUGAGAGACCGAUAGCGAACUAGUACUGCGAAGGAAAGGUGAAAAGUAUCCCGAACAGGGAGGUGAAAAGAACCUGAAAUCGUGCGCUUACAAGCGGUCGGAGCCCGAAAGGGUGACGGCGUGCCUUUUGCAUAAUGAGCCUACGAGUUACUCCUCACUAGCAAGGUUAAGUAUUUAAGGUACGUAUCCGAAGCGAAAGCGAGUCUUAACAGGGCGUAUAGUUAGUGGGGGUAGACGCGAAACUUUGUGAUCUACCCUUGGCCAGGAUGAAGUUCAGGUAACACUGAAUGGAGGUCCGAACCGGUUGACGUUGAAAAGUCUUCGGAUGAGCUGAGGGUAGGGGUGAAAGGCCUAUCAAACUAAGAGAUAGCUCGUACUCCCCGAAAUGUUUUUAGGAACAGCCUCG